rnacentral:lncRNA from 1 species
UCUUAAAUGGGGAUUGAGAGAGGUGUAAAAAAAGAAAGGGGUUGAACAUUAUUAUUUAUUAUUAAAAGAGAAAAGAAUGGAACCCUGAGAUAUAGGGAAAAAAGGAAAAGAGUGUAAAAACAUAACCAAGAAACAGAAAAGUGAGGAAGCGAUCUGAUCUAUGAAUUAUGAUCUAUCUCUCUCUCUGCAACAACAACAACACCACACAUGACACAUCCAAUCCCAAUAUCAACAAUUAAGCGCUGUGUGCUGUUUC